rnacentral:rRNA from 1 species
UACGGAGGGGACUAGCGUUGUUCGGAAUUACUGGGCGUAAAGAGUGUGUAGGCGGUGCUCUAAGUUCGGUGUGAAAUCUCCCGGCUCAACUGGGAGGGUGCGCCGGAAACUGGGGUGCUGGAGCGCGGGAGAGGAAAGCGGAAUUCCUGGUGUAGCGGUGAAAUGCGUAGAUAUCAGGAGGAACACCGGCGGUGUAGACGGCUUUCUGGACCGUAGCUGACGCUGAGACACGAAAGCGUGGGUAGCAAACAGG